rnacentral:rRNA from 1 species
UACAGAGGUCUCAAGCGUUGUUCGGAUUCAUUGGGCGUAAAGGGUGUGUAGGUGGCGCCGUAAGUCGGGUGUGAAAUUUCGGAGCUUAACUCCGAAACUGCAUUCGAUACUGCGGUGCUUGAGGACUGGAGAGGAGACUGGAAUUCUCGGUGUAGCAGUGAAAUGCGUAGAUAUCGAGAGGAACACCAGUGGCGAAGGCGAGUCUCUGGACGAGUCCUGACACUGAGGCACGAAAGCCAGGGGAGCAAACAGG